rnacentral:rRNA from 1 species
UACGGAGGGUGCGAGCGUUGUCCGGAAUCACUGGGCGUAAAGGGCGCGUAGGCGGCCCGGCAAGUCUGUGGUGAAAGCUCAGGCUCAACUCUGAGUCGGCCACGGAUACUGCGGGGCUCGGAGCACGGUAGAGGCAGGUGGAAUUCCGGUGUAGCGGUGAAAUGCGUAGAGAUCGGAAGGAACACCAGUGGCGAAGGCGGCUACCUGGACAGAUACUGACGCUGAG